AUGCAAAUCCUCUCGCGCUCGAUUACUCGAAGCGUCAGCAGCGUUGCCUCUGCUCUGCCUCGAUGGUGGUUUCCAGCACUUGCGCGAGGAGAUGCUCCACUCAAGGCUUUAGUACAUCUGUUGGGAAGUGAGAAGAUUGCACUGAAUUGGCCACGCCAAUUCUCCAUACAUGGCGUGGAUGAGACGAAGACUAAUAAUGCAGCAGAGGACAGUGACCCGACGUUAAAGACUAGUUUAAGUGAAGAUAUAUGUUACAUGCCGAUAAUUUCAGGGAGCAGCCACCGUGAUGGUGCUAUAUACAAGAGAGCGGCUUAUUGGGAACAUAAUUACUUUUUUGAUAUCUCUGACCGUACAGAAACUCGGUUGGAGCCAGCUCGUGCAUACGAUAUACCACGUAACAUGAUGCAGAUCUUUUCAAUGAAGUUAGCUAAAGCUCCUAUCAAUAGUGGCUCAAUACAGUUAUAUGGAUAUAUAGCAGCACGUGAUGAAGUUGAUCUAAGACUAAAUUAUGUUUUCAAUCGUACCAGGGAUGAUCCCAUCAUCGUGCAGCAGGGUUUUCUCAUAGAAAUGAACGGCCCUAAGAGAGCCAUCCUGUUAAUAUUUGAUGUGCUACUUGAGUUUGACAUGAGGAUCAAGAAUGGGGAGAAUGAAGAGGAUGAUUUACAGCUGAUUGAUGGAAUCUCAGAAUUUGACGGUUUACGCGUGUCAUGGAGACCACACCAGGUUCGCAUUGGUGGAAAUUGUGGUGCAGUUGAUACGUCUUUUGCACUUGUUCACAACUCAGUCGAGGCCGCAGUAGAAGUUAUCAUAUCUCAAGUCCAGACUGGCUUUGAUUUAUCUUUCAGUUCUACGAUUGAUCUUCUGGAGAUGAAUAAAGAAUUCCAGCUCUUCAGUGGAAAUAUUAGUGAGUCCUGUGGCUUAGGAAGCUUUGUGAUUGCUGUCACAGAGGAUACACUGAUGCAUUUGAAGUUCAAGGUUGAUCACAAAGGCUGUAACAGUAAUAUUGAAAGCAAUUGUUCCUUCAAAGCUAAGUUAAAUGGACAAGCCAGCCAUCAACUAAAUCUCGAGACUGCCUCAAUUUUAGUUAAGGUGGCUUGGGCUGUGUUGCCUGCAAGCUAU
rnacentral:rRNA from 1 species